ensembl:processed_transcript A930012O16Rik RIKEN cDNA A930012O16 gene
AGAACGGAGUCGGCCUCACCGAGAACCAGAGUGGCCCUGAGCUCGCGGCGAGCGCGCCGGGAUGUCACCGGGUCAGGCGGGGCCACGGUAACCCGACCCGCCCGCCGACGCCCCUCCCGGCCACUUCCUCCUCCCCUCGUGCGCCUCCGCCUCCCCGGGGGAUGAUCCGGCGACUCAGCCACCGCCUUCGCCGCGACACCGCGGCCCGGGCGACUCUGCCCGGCAGGGAAAUGCGGAAGUGCAGCCGGUGGGAAAGGGCGGCUGCAGACCCGGCGCUCUGGGUCUCGCAGGGACGUGGGCUGGCCAUGCCCGAGGUUAUCGAUCCUGCCCUGAGCCCCGGCGGAGCACGACUCCAUACCCUGCCACUCCUUGCUAGCUGGAGGAAAGAAGAGAGGGCUGAGCUAGGCCGGGGAAGCCGCUGUGGUGUUGGGUUUCUGUCCCUCCCCACGCGGGCCACUCCUGCCAUCUGCCCUAGGGGGAGGACGUUUCCCCCGCCUGCUGCCUACCGGGGUUGCCUUACCUGAUCACCCGUCGCGCGCCCUUAGAUCCGGCGUCCCCUCCUCCGCGCCUCCCAGCCGCCAGGCUUCCCUGGGCCUAGAAAGGCGUCUAGGAGUCGGGGGACUCUAGGGACUCGGCCUGCAGCUCUCGGCCCAGAUACCCCAGCGUGUUCUGUGGGCGCUCCAGGCCUGUGGACCCCGGGCCUGAAUGUUAGCACCGGGACCCGCUGAGAAGAACAAGCCAAAUCAGCAAGGAUCUCAAAUAUUUACUUAGAAGUUCAAUGCGUUUCUCUGCAAAGAAGUAGGUCGAAAUCAGGACCCCAUGCUGGCUUCCCACUAAUUCACCUAAAAGAUUGCAGUUCCUGGAAAUGAAACCAUUCCGCCAUUGACUUUCGCAUUCUGGUGCCUAUAAAAGAUGUUUAAAUGUUCAUUGGCUUUAAAUGGAUGCUUAAGUGAACAGUGUGUUUCCGGCCCAACUAUGUCAAGUCUUUCUUCACUAAGUACUCCACCCAUGAAGGAUUCAGCUCUCAUCAGAAACCCAUGAGCACCCAUCAGACCUCGGCAUAACUUAGACUACAGAGGAGAAAAAUCGGAAGCCCUGGGCAGCAUUGCACUUGACAAAUAUGGGCCUCAAAACAAACAAAAAAGAUCAGAACAGGAAGCAUCCAAUAGGAUUCAUGAAAAGCCCUAAAGGAAAAAGAUGCGACAAUGUGGGAAAAGGGUAAAGAGCCGGGAAGCAGCCCCAAACAAUCCAUGUUUUCUUUUGAGUCCUCUCUGUCAAAACCACUGCAUUUUGGCAUUGUUCCUGUGUGUAUCACAUUUCAUCCCCACCACUGCUGAAUAAAAGGAGCAAAAUUAGAGAGGAAAAUGCUCUACGGCAGAUAUACUCAUGAAUUAAAACUACUGCUUGCUUCUAACUGCUCAGAUCACAACUAACUUAGAACAUGUUUGUUUGUUUGUUUGUUUGUUUGUUUGUUUGUUUUAAAAAAUAAAAUAAAACAGCGCAUCUUUAAUCUC